GCGCCGAAGGCGGGCGCCCUGUCAUCGCAAACCGGCGCCUCCCAUUGGCCGGCGGGAAAUGGUCGCCCAAUCGCCAAGCGCAUGACUCGGAAGUUGCAUCCCCGCCACAGCGACCCCUUCAGGCGCGGCGGGAUGACGGGGGGAUGAAGGCAGGCCCCGCCCCGCUCGCCGCGGAGGUGAGGGCUCCUGCUGGGGGUGGCCGCCAGCCGGACGUGGGACACGGGUUCGAGUCCCGUGGCUGGCGGAGCGGCGGGGGGGCCUGCCUGGGUCUCCGUGGGGGCGUCACCUGCGGGGCUCUGCCGGGCCAGAUACCCGCCGCCUGCGGCCCACGGAGGGGUUCGGGGGGGCGAGGGGCCCUGCCUGGCCCGGCCCGGGCAGGAGAGCCCAGCGGGAGGAGAGGCCAGGGACAAAGGCCAGCCCAAGCGAGAACCGCUCACAGAGUUUAGAUGCUGCUGUGUCUGAGAACCCAGCUUCAGAAAUGUGAGAGCUGUCUUUCAGCGGGGCUAAUUAUCACAACCCUGAUUAAAGGUGAUGGAUGUACUGACAGAGCCUAAAGCAAUUAUCCUGAACACAGAACCUAAACCGGAGGCUGCGGAAUGGCUCUCCUGAGGCUGAGCUGUGCUAGAGGGAGGGAAGAGAUGCGCUGCUGAAGUGCUGGUGCCGAACGUCAUUCCCCCGGGAAGAUGUGCAGUGAGGAGCAGGUUUCAAAUAGAGUGUCUCUUCAGCAAAAACAGGUUGCCAGAUGGGGGCUGAGGCCCUUGUUCUGCCCAGGCUUCAGCAAGGCAUCGCUCCAGGGCCACUGUGAAUUAUAAAUACAUUGGUCACAUUUCUCUAUUUAGGACUGGUGCUCUGGAGUUAGAGUUUGCAUGAAUAAAACAUAUUUUCCAUA